CAGCAGCCGCGGUAAUACGGAGGGAGCAAGUGUUAUCCGGAAUCACUGGGCGUAAAGCGUCUGUAGGUGGUUGAACAAGUCAACUGUUAAAUCUUGAGGCUCAACUUCAAAAUCGCAGUCGAAACUGUUUGACUAGAGUAUAGUAGGGGUAAAGGGAAUUUCCAGUGGAGCGGUGAAAUGCGUAGAUAUCAAGAGGAAGACCAAUGGCGAAGGCAGCCUGCUGGACAUUUACUGACGCUGAGGUACGAAGGCUAGGGUAGCGAAAGGGAUUAGAUACCCCUGUAGUCCUAGCAGUAAACGGUGCGCGCUUGGUGUAGGAGGACUCGACCCCUUCUGUGCCGGAGCUAACGCGUUAAGCGCGCCGCCUGGGGAGUACGGUCGCAAGACUAAAACUCAAAGAAAUUGACGGGGACCCGCACAAGCGGUGGAGUAUGUGGCUUAAUUCGAUGCCACGCGAAGAACCUUACCAAGGCUUGACAUGUAUUGCUAGCACGUGAAAGGUGGACCUUUCGGGACCUUACACAGUGCUGCAUGGCCGUCGUCAGCUCGUGUCGUGAGAUGUUUGGUUAAGUCCAGCAACGAGCGCAACCCCUGGAAUAGUUGCCAGCACGUAAUGGUGGGACUCUAUUCAGACUGCCCAGGUCAACUGGGAGGAAGGUGGGGAUGACGUCAGGUCAGUAUGGCCCUUACGCCUUGGGCUGCACACGUACUACAAUGCUCAGUACAAUGAGAACCGAGACCGCGAGGUGGAGGAAAUCUGCAAAACUGAGCCCAGUUCGGAUUGGAGGCUGCAACUCGCCUCCAUGAAGUUGGAAUCGCUAGUAAUGGCACAUCAGCUACGGUGCCGUGAAUACGUUCCCGGGUCUUGUACACACCGCCCGUCACAUCAUGGAAGCUGAUCGCACCCGAAGUAUCUGCGCUAACUAUUUAUAGAAGCAAGGUCCUAAGGUGUAGUUGGUAACUGGGAUGAAGUCGUAACAAGGUAACCGUA
rnacentral:rRNA from 1 species